rnacentral:lncRNA from 1 species
AUGCACCGCAGAGUUCUUCCCGACUUCAACAACAGCAUUGAGAUGGUCUACAUCAGCGAGGAUUAUGGAACAGUCUAUCUCGCAUUCAGGAGACAGGGACAGCACGUUGAUCUGGAGAAGGAUCAUGAGGAGCACAAAGCAAAGGCUAAAUACUUCGGUCUGAGCGGAGAGAACUUCGAUGAGUGGCACUACGACGGAGCGGCGGUACUACUCCAAUAUUCAGCUCAACAAACAUACACUGAGUGCAAAAUUAUUACACAAGUUAGUUUUCUGACCAUAUUGGGGGGAGUUUCUGCUCAUUUCAAACUCCAAAUUGUGUAAAACUGAAAAGGCGUUGGAUUUAAGCGUCCCAGGUCGUGGCAGUGUUUGUAGCUAGAAGAUGUGAGGUCAAAGUAGGUCCAAGCUCUGAAUCAAGGGCAGAAUUAUUAUGCAGCCAUUUUCCCUCACACAAAAAGGGAAGGAAGAGACAUCUGAAAAUCUCCUGAUCAGAGGGAUGCAGAGAUUUUGAAAUUUCCCACACAGAACCAUCAAACGUUUUGUUGAAAAUAGCAAACAGGGUCGUAAGAAGUUGACAAGAACGAAGACUUGUCAACGUUCUUGUCAAGUAUAAAGCCAUCAGGACUCUCACUCACAGUGCUGCCAUUUUCAGCACCUGAAGGGUCCAGAAGUACAGUUCGGUGCUCAGAGACAUUGCCGAGAAAAGUGGAAACCCAACCACUAUGGACUUAAGGUGCCUACACACCUAACUGCACGCAUCGCGCUGUUGCUUCCAUUUGGACGCUUGAAAGGCUUGCAAUCAGACGCUCACAUGUGUUCACGUCAGGCGCUGCCGCGUGAUUCUGUAGGAAAUAAAAAAACUGUUUCCUGAUUCUUUGCUUGUGCUUUGGAGUCAGUGAGAGUUUUACUAGCCUACAUUUCUCUGACACUUGAGGCAAAUCUCACCUCUUUCCUCUUUCUCUCUCCCGGAUAUUAUUUCAAUAUGUGUGGGUUUGAGUGUGUAAUACCUGUCUAUCCAUCAUGUCCUCAGAAAAUCCCCUUUUAAACAUGUUUGUAAUCCAGUGCGUCCUUUAUUGCACGUUUAAUACGUUUAUUGAGGCAUAUAAUUCCUCUGAACCGAAUGCCUGGGCUCGGGAAAGGCAUUUCAAACCACAGCUGCUGCUUGUCAUGAAGAUUUCCUUCUCUCUCAGACGCUGUUUCCAUUUCACUCUUUAUGAUGUAGUGGAGGUGGUUAUGUUGCUCCAAAUUCAGAUGAUCUAUACAGAUUUCUUGAAUGUGUGUGUUUGCCCUCCUGCCUCCUCACGCCGCUGACUCACACCGCUCUUCACACCUGCCGCCACGCACACUCAUCACCCGCACACGUGCGCACUUUUCACAUUGACAAUACUCAGUAAUCCACCACAGCUGCCGUGCGAUCCGCAUUAGGUGUGAAGGACACUCAAGACACAUAAGCUGAACUGUUUACACUGGGUCAGGAAUGAUCUAAAGACAAAGUCCAUCCAGAGUCACUCUGACCUCAUCAGUCCGUUAAACCUUUGAAACCUCUGUCUUUAGAUCACUCCUGACCCCGUCUAAACAUUUCAACUUAUGUGUCUUGGUCAAUAGUGGUCAGGUUUUCACUUUUCUCUGCAAUGUCUCUUCAUGCUUGAUUUUUCUUCUCAUGACAAUGUUGACUAUUGAUAACAAAACAUUUGAUGUUUUUUACCAUUUAAAUGUUUUUUGAGUCCUGCAUCCCUCCAGCUUUUAACAAUUUGUGACAUUUGAUGUCUUUUCCUUCCCAUUCUGUGUGAGGGAAAAUAGCUGCAUAAUAAUUCUGCACUUGAUUCAGAGCGUGGACCUGAUUUGGAAACACUUCCUCUCAUUACAAACAUCGUCAACCCCCGGAAAACUUCAAUCCAACAGCCUUUCAGUUUUACACAGUUUGGAGUUUGAAACAAACUAAAGAACAAUAUGACUAAUAUGGUUAAUUGUGCAUACAGUGUGUAAAAAACAUUCAAAUCUUGUGAUAGAACAUCAGAAUUCUAAACAUCUGUUUCUGUUUCAGAUUUCUGCCACCUAAAGUCAGCGCCGGAGAAAGCUGAGUCUUGAACCAAGAAACUACACCCAAAAUAAAGAGUCUAAACACGCUUUGAGUCUCAGUGUUUAAGCCUCCGUAAAGAAAUGUAAGAAAGUAGGCAUUUGGUUACCACAUUUGCAACUGUGGGACAAAACAAUCCCAGUAAGAUUAGUGUUAUAGUAAUAGUAGCUCCUGAAGUAGAUGUUUGGUGAUACACGUAUGAAGUUUGCUGCUUUCUCUACAUGUCACUUUGUAAGAAAACGUGCUAAAGUCCUUAUACCCUGAGGGUCACGCCUCAUUGAGGUGCAGGUAAACAUCUGGCUAGUGCCACGUUUCUGUGAGGCGCAUGAGGUCAAUCUCCUUGUCAGUGAUGUGAGCAUGGAUAACUAGAUGCUCCAGCCCAUCAGGGGGCAGGGGCAGUGUGUGGGAGUUUAAAUCGAUAAGACAAGAGUUUAUUUGUAAAGAACAAUUCAAAGUCCUUUACCGAACAGGAAUGUACAGUUGAAAACUAUAACUAUAAAAUGGAAAUGUCAUUAUAAAAUCCUGAAGAAAUAGUUUCAGUGUGUGCCAGUUAAUACAACUGUUUUCAGCAUGGAUUAGAACUUCAGCAGAGUUGAGGCUUGUCUCACAUCUUAAGGGGACUGUUCACAUUUUUAAACUUAAUUUAAAAUUUUCAAAACUUUGUUUAUUUGGAGUUUUACAGAAAUUGUGCAGAGUUUUCAAACAAGUGAGAUUAAAUACAAGGGAAAAAAGAAUACUGACACAAUCUCCUUAAAU